rnacentral:rRNA from 1 species
GACGAACGCUGGCGGCGUGCCUAAUACAUGCAAGUCGAGCGGACGGAUGGGAGCUUGCUCCCAGACCGUCAGCGGCGGACGGGUGAGUAACACGUGGGCAACCUGCCUGUAAGACUGGGAUAACUCCGGGAAACCGGGGCUAAUACCGGAUAACUCUUUCCCUCACAUGAGGGAAAGCUGAAAGAUGGCAUCUCGCUAUCACUUACAGAUGGGCCCGCGGCGCAUUAGCUAGUUGGUGAGGUAACGGCUCACCAAGGCGACGAUGCGUAGCCGACCUGAGAGGGUGAUCGGCCACACUGGGACUGAGACACGGCCCAGACUCCUACGGGAGGCAGCAGUAGGGAAUCUUCCGCAAUGGACGAAAGUCUGACGGAGCAACGCCGCGUGAGUGAUGAAGGUUUUCGGAGCGUAAAACUCUGUUGUCAGGGAAGAACAAGUACCGGAGUAACUGCCGGUACCUGGACGGUACCUGACCAGAAAGCCACGGCUAACUACG